rfam:Firmicutes bacterium CAG:646 genomic scaffold, scf181
UGAUAGCGAUGAAGCGUGAGGUUGCUGCAGAGAUUGCAGGUUUUCCGUGGAGCGAAUGUCAAGUUAAGAAACUGGCGACAA